GUGCCCCGGUGGCCGAAUGGGUAAUGCGGCCACCUGGUAGCGCCUUGGCGUGGGGACCCAAGGCGCGUGGGUUCGAAACCCGCAGGGGACAACAUUACAUCCGGAGCCAACUUCUCAGCUCCUAAAAUAAUGGGAUGUGAACCUGCCAAGUAGGUACCUUCGGGCGGACCUACUACUUGAUUUAGCUGAUUUUUCCUGGGCUGGGAACCUGUAUUGCAUGUACCAAAUCCUGUCUUUCAUUAAUUUUCCUAUGUUCCUGUUAUAUUCUUGGCGUCGUUCAACACUAAGCAUUCCUCCUGUAUAACCAACUCUUGCCUGUAUUUAACAUCACACAAGGACUCGUCAUAAGCACUGCUUGCAUACGAGUAUAACGGAAGAAUAAUAAUAAUAAUAAUAAUCCACUGACU
rnacentral:sRNA from 1 species